AUUGAACGAUGGUGGCAGGCUUAACACAUGCAAGUCGAGCGAGCGGCGGACGGGUGAGUCAUCUCCGGGCAACUGCCUGAUGGAGGGGGAUAACUACUGGAAACGGUAGCUAAUACGGCAUACCAUCAGAUGUGCCCAGAUGGGAUUAGCUAGUAGGUGGGGUAAUGGCUCACCUAGGCGACGAUCCCUAGCUGGUCUGCGAGGAUGCACGGCCACACUUGAACUGGGUCACGGUCCAGACUCAUACGGGACGCAGCAGUGGGGAAUAUUGCACAAUGGGCGCAGGCCUGAUGCAGCCAUUCGGCGUGUGUGAAGAAGGCCUUCGGGUUGUGAAGCACUUGCUGCGAGGAGGCGUUACUCACAGAAGAAGCACCGGCUAACUCCGUGCUAGCAGCCGCGGUAAUUC
rnacentral:rRNA from 1 species